CGGGAUGUAAAGCACUUUAGUUUAGGAAGAUUGUGUGUGGGUUAAAUGACCAAACGCUUGACGUGUACGAAUUGAAGGAGCACCUUGCUAACUUCGUGGCAGCAGCCACGGUUAGACGGAGGGUGCAAUCGUUUGUCGGAAUUACUGGGGGUUUAACGGGCAUACGCAGAUGCUUACGUCUGAUGUGAAGUCUCCGGGGUUGACCUGGGAACUGCAUUGAAUACUGGGCGUCUAGAGUAGGGUACAGGGUGGCGGAAUUUCUGUGUGUAGGAAUUGAAAUGCGUAGAUAUGUGGAGGAAUACCGAUGGCGAAGGCCUCCCCCUGAGUUAACACUGACUCUCAUGCACGAAAGCGUGGGGAGCAAACAGGAUUAGAUACCCUGGUAGUCCACGCCCUAAACGAUGUCAACU
rnacentral:rRNA from 1 species